UACGAACCGUACAAACGUUAUUCGGAAUCACUGGGCUUAAAGGGUGCGUAGGCGGCCACGUAAGUGAGAUGUGAAAUCCCUCGGCUCAACCGAGGAAGUACAUUUCAUACUGCAUGGCUUGAGGGAGACAGGGGUCAGCGGAACUGAUGGUGGAGCGGUGAAAUGCGUUGAUAUCAUCAGGAACACCGGUGGCGAAAGCGGCUGACUGGGUCUCUUCUGACGCUGAGGUACGAAAGCUAGGGUAGCGAACGGG
rnacentral:rRNA from 1 species